CAGAGACUUGAGCAUCAAAUUGGCAUUAAAGGAACCGCACUAAGCUGGUUUAAGUCAUAUUUAUCAGAUCGCUCGCAGUUUGUACAUGUUAACGAUGAAUCUUCAAUAAAUACUACAGUAAGUCAUGGAGUUCCACAAGGUUCUGUACUUGGACCAAUACUAUUUACUUUAUAUAUGCUCCCUUUAGGCAACAUUAUUAGGAAUCACUCCAUUAACUUUCACUGUUAUGCAGAUGAUACGCAGUUAUAUCUAUCAAUCAAACCCAAUGAAAUUAAUCAAUUAUCUAAAUUACAAACAUGUCUUAAGGACAUAAAAUCCUGGAUGACCUGCAAUUUUCUGAUGUUAAACUCAGAAAAAAACGAAAUUCUUGUUCUUGGCCCCAAAAACCUUAGAGACUCAUUGUCUAAAGAUAUAGUCACUCUAGAUGGCAUUAACUUGGCCUCUAGCACCACUGUCAGGAAUCUUGGAGUUAUCUUUGAUCAGGAUUUGUCAUUUAACUCCCACAUAAAGCAGACCUCUAGGACUGCCUUCUUUCAUUUACGUAAUAUUAGAAAAAUUAAACACAUACUAUCACAGACAGAUGCAGAAAAACUAAUCCAUGCAUUUGUUACUUCAAGGCUGGAUUACUGCAACUCUUUAUUAUCAGGUUGCCCCAAUAAGUCCAUUAAAACGCUCCAAUUAAUUCAGAACGCUGCAGCACGAGUACUGACAGGAACUAGAAAAAGAGAUCACAUCUCUCCUGUACUAGCUACUCUGCAUUGGCUCCCUAUAAAAUGUAGAAUUGAAUUUAAAAUCCUCCUCCUCACCUAUAAAGCUCUUCAUGGUCAGGCCCCUUCAUAUCUUAAAGAGCUCAUAGUACCCUAUUACCCCACUAGAACACUACGUUCUCUGAAUGCUGGGCUACUUGUGGUUCCUAUAGUCUCUAAAAGUAGAACAGGAGCCAGAGCCUUCAGUUACCAAGCUCCUCUCCUGUGGAACCAGCUUCCAGUUGUGGUUCGGGAGGCAGACACCCUCACCACAUUCAAGAGUAGGCUUAAGACAUUCCUCUUUGAUAAAGCUUAUAGUUAGGGCUGGAUCAGGUGAGUCCUGAACCAUCCCUUAGUUAUGCUGCUAAAGGCCUAGACUAUCGGGGGAUUUCCCAUGGUGCACUGAGCUCCUCUCUUCCUCUCUCUUUCUGCACUCAUUCAUGUUCCAUUAAUGCAUGUUACUAACUUCACUUCUUCCCCGGAGUUCUUGUGCUUUCUCGUCUCGCAGGUUCUUGUCGAUCCUGGUGGAGCCUCCUGCCAUGGUCCUGCUAGAUUGCCAUUACCAAUACUGUUGUUGCUGUGCACCUGUCUGUCUGUCUGUCUCUCUCUCUCUCUCUCUCUCUCUGUCUCUCUCUGUCUCUCU